GACGAACGCUGGCGGCGCGCUUAACACAUGCAAGUCGAGCGAAGCGGACGGGUGAGUAACACGUGAGUAACCUGCCUUAGACAUUGGGAUAGCCUCGGGAAAACGGGAUUAAUACCAAAUGGUCUAAGAUGGACUCGCGUCCCAUUAGCUAGGUGGUGAGGUAACGGCCCACCAAGGCGACGAUGGGUAGCCGGCCUGAGAGGGUGAGCGGACACAUUGGAACGGAGCAACGGUGCAAACUCUAAGGGAGGCAGCAGUGGGGAAUAUCGCACAAUGGAGUGAACGCUGAUGCAGCGACGCCGGGUGAACGAAGAAGGCUUUCGAGUCGUAAAGUUCUUUUAUAUGGGAAGCGGUACCAUAAGAAAAAGCCCCGGCUAACGACGUGCCAGCAGCCGCGGUAAUUC
rnacentral:rRNA from 1 species